rnacentral:rRNA from 1 species
AACGAACGCUGGCGGCAGGCUUAACACAUGCAAGUCGAGCGCCCCGCAAGGGGCGCGGCAGACGGGUGAGUAACGCGUGGGAAUCUACCCAUCUCUACGGAAUAACGCAUGGAAACGUGUGCUAAUACCGUAUACGUCCUUCGGGAGAAAGAUUUAUCGGAGAUGGAUGAGCCCGCGUUGGAUUAGCUAGUUGGUGGGGGAAAGGCCUACCCAGGCGACGAUCCAUAGCUGGUCUGAGCGGAUGAUCAGCCACACGGGGACUGAGACACGGCCCAGACUCCUACGGGAGGCGGCAGUGGGAAAUAUUGGACAAUGGGCGCAAGCCUGAUCCAGCCAUGCCGCGUGAGUGAUGAAGGCCCUAGGGUUGUAAAGCUCUUUCACAGGUGAAGAUAAUGACGGUAACCGGAGAAGAAGCCCCGGCUAACUUCGUGCCAGCAGCCGCGGUAAAAC